CAUACGCAUGCAGCGUUUUCUGGCACAGUACCGAGCGCACGCAGUCAUCCUUAUUAAACCGCACAACGCUUAUCAUCUCGUCAUCGUGAAAGCGGGACAACGCAUCGCUGAGCCCGGAUGUCACCCCCGCCGGUAAAUCGCACUGGGAAAUAUCCCCGUUCACGAUAACCGUGACAUUCUCCCCCAGCCGGGU
rnacentral:antisense_RNA from 1 species